rnacentral:rRNA from 1 species
GACGAACGCUGGCGGCGUGCCUAAUACAUGCAAGUCGAACGCUUCUUUCCUCCCGAGUGCUUGCCCUCAAUUGGAAAGAGGAGUGGCGGACGGGUGAGUAACACGUGGGUAACCUACCCAUCAGAGGGGGAUGACACUUGGAAACAGGUGCUAAUACCGCAUAACAGUUUAUGCCGCAUGGCAUAAGAGUGAAAGGCGCUUUCGGGUGUCGCUGAUGGAUGGACCCGCGGUGCAUUAGCUAGUUGGUGAGGUAACGGCUCACCAAGGCCACGAUGCAUAGCCGACCUGAGAGGGUGAUCGGCCACACUGGGACUGAGACACGGCCCAGACUCCUACGGGAGGCAGCAGUAGGGAAUCUUCGGCAAUGGACGAAAGUCUGACCGAGCAACGCCGCGUGAGUGAAGAAGGUGUUCGGAUCGUAAAACUCUGUUGUUAGAGAAGAACAAGGACGUUAGUAACUGAACGUCCCCUGACGGUAUCUAACCAGAAAGCCACGGCUAACUACGUG